rnacentral:rRNA from 1 species
AUUGAACGCUGGCGGAAUGCUUUACACAUGCAAGUCGAACGGCAGCACGGGUGCUUGCACCUGGUGGCGAGUGGCGAACGGGUGAGUAAUGCACCGGAACGUAUCCAAUAAUGGGGGAUAACGCACCGAAAGGUGUGCUAAUACCGCAUACGCCCUGAGGGGGAAAGCGGGGGAUCGUAAGACCUCGCGUUAAUGGAGCGGCCGAUGCCGGAUUAGCUAGUUGGUGAGGUAAAGGCUCACCAAGGCGACGAUCCGUAGCGGGUCUGAGAGGAUGAUCCGCCACACUGGGACUGAGACACGGCCCAGACUCCUACGGGAGGCAGCAGUGGGGAAUUUUGGACAAUGGGCGCAAGCCUGAUCCAGCCAUGCCGCGUGAGUGAAGAAGGCCUUCGGGUUGUAAAGGCUCUUU